rnacentral:lncRNA from 1 species
CAAUGAUAUUCACAUCACCUUAAUUCCCUGUGUAGUCAUUAACAUGAGUCUUGGAAUGAAAAGAAACCUUGCAAGAAUUCCAUGAAUACAGGAAUGAGGGGAGAUGCUGUGAUCACUGAGAUGAAGAGAAGAGGGAGCUGCGAGGGACCACUUUCAACACAGAAGCUGCACACAGCACAGAAAUUUGGCCCAGCUAUUGUAAGAACCAAACACAAGAUUUCAAAAGACCUCAAGUCUGCCCCCUGGUGUGAAGAUCGGUAAAACAACCUGCACGUGUUGAAUAGGCUUCUUAGGCAACAUAGACAAGGCUGAAAUCAUACCGGUCUACACAAAACCUAAUGCACAUAGUAGGACAAUAGCAUCCACCCCAUUGUUUUUACAUUGAAUCUCACCAGCCACUGUGGAGAACAUCAAAGAAAUGAAAAAUUAGCCUCUGUCCUCCAGGUAAGUACGUAGAUAUUAGAAUACACCCUGGCACCCGCUAUUUCUGCUGCAUUUCUUGAAA